GCCUGCUGAGCCAGCUUGACUAACGGGCCUUGACCACUUCUGCGAGCACUCAUUGCAGAAAGCUCCCAUCAACCAAGCGAUUUCCAUGGGGAGGUUCACUAUUUAAAGGGAGAAUGGUGGAGCCUUGGAGCUGUGCAGAUGUGGAAGACCACUGCCCCUUUCCAGCUGUGGACCUCCAAGCGUCACAAUGUUCUGGAACGGAGAAGAAGAAUCUAAUGCCCUGCUAGUUGGAGAAGGACAGAACUGAUCUGGAUGUCUCCACACAUCAGCAGAAGACAGAGCUUCUUCACCUUUAGGACUCCAGUAUCCUUCUCUUUGUGCAAGGCUUCUCUCAAUACAACCCAUGGCAGAAGAGCUUGGCAACGUCACUUCUGGAAAGGAGCAUCAAGUGUGAAUUUUCACUUAAGUUUGCAGAAAGGGUCUUAUCCUUUCCAAGUGAAACAUUGCUUUUCUUAAUCAGGUAUAUAUGGCAGCCUGUGACUGUAAUGAUGAGAUUAUUAUAAAUGACUAGACAAGAUAUGGGUCUGAGGUUAUGACAUGAAUGUUAUCUGGCAGCAGGUCUUUGUUUGUCAGGUGGAGAGGUUUUGUUUGUUUGUGUGAUUAAAAUAACUAGCUUCCCCUUUGGACCAACAAAAAUUUCACAUACAAACAAAGUGAACAAAUGUUGCCUUUUUGUAGGCUUCUCAAGGAGGUCAAAACCAAAACUUCACUGUUUGCCAGCACACAGUGAAAUCACAAUCACACAACAUGGUGGGGGAACA